AGAGCAAAAGCCAGUUGCUAAAACCGUAAAACGUUGGUUCUCCAAUCCCAUGCCCUUUUAGAAUUCAUCAUCCAUGCUCUGAUCAAAUCAUCAAAAAGUGGAUCUUCUUUUUUCUCUUUAGUCCUUUUCCACAUUAACCCUAAAAUAAGGAAACUUGCAGCUAUACCAAUAGUUCAAUACCAACUUCUAGCCCCAUCCACAAACCUUUGUUGCCCUCUUGUUUAGGGCUAAUAUUAGCAUUGGGAAUUGGUGAAGGACUAGGAUUUGGGAUUGAAUUAUCACAAUCAACAAACUAGUGGAAUGCUGUAACAAGAGUCUGUGCAACCAAUUUAGUGCCCUCGUGCCUUUGGAGCCUCAAACGAAUUCCUGUAUCUGAUUUGACACAGCCUCAUUACUUUGUAAAACUUCAAUGGAAUAAUGACCAUGACGGCAGACAGUGUGUUCAUCUUAAACACUAAAACAUGUGGCAAGGUAAGAGG